AAGGUACAGGUUGCCCGGGUGGGAUGGGCAGGACGGUGUCAGGAGCUGGCAGCCUGACGCCCCCGAUUCCAGCCCCUCUCCCCUGGCACAGACAUUGAUGAGUGUGAGUCUGGUGCGCACCAGUGCUCCGAGGCCCAAACCUGUGUCAACUUCCAUGGGGGCUACCGCUGCGUGGACACCAACCGCUGCGUGGAGCCCUACAUCCAGCCGCUGUCUCUGCCCGGCCUCCAACCCUCUAUGUCGAGAGCAGCCUUCAUCCAUUGUGCACCGCUACAUGACCAUCACCUCGGAGCGGAGCGUGCCCGCUGACGUGUUCCAGAUCCAGGCGACCUCCGUCUACCCCGGUGCCUACAAUGCCUUUCAGAUCCGUGCUGGAAACUCGCAGGGGGACUUUUACAUUAGGCAAAUCAACAACGUCAGUGCCAUGCUGGUCCUCGCCCGGCCGGUGACGGGCCCCCGGGAGUACGUGCUGGACCUGGAGAUGGUCACCAUGAAUUCCCUCAUGAGCUACCGGGCCAGCUCUGUACUGAGGCUCACCGUCUUUGUGGGGGCCUACACCUUCUGAGGAGCAGGAGGGAGCCACCCUCCCUGCAGCUACCCUAGCUGAGGAGCCUGUUGUGAGGGGCAGAAUGAGAAAGGCAAUAAAGGGAGAAAGAAA
rnacentral:sRNA from 1 species